AGUGCAUCACACAGGAAGCAGUGUCAGUCUGUCCUGUUGCUGGCUGGAAGAACUCGCUUCCAGUAGAAUGCCAUCAAUCAGUGAGUAGGCAUGUCCAAGAUCUCUCGUGAACUAAAGCUGAAGCGCAAGACACAUUCACAUAUCCCAUAUCCCAUGCAAGUACGCCUUAAACAUGUAUAUGUGAUUCAGAAGCCAGAGUUCUGCCCAGCUGGUGUGGC